GAAAUAAAAUGUCCUUGUAAAUCUUCAAGUAGAAGCUUGGUAAGGAAGAGAACAAAGGCAAAUAUAACCUAACAGAUAUAACAAGCAUUCAGUUUAUUCUCACUUGAAUAAUUUUUAAUUAUUUCUACACAGGCUGUUAAGUUUCUAUCAAGUCACUGACAAUAUUCAGCACAAAGGAAGUGAAUAUAAAAUCCAAAGGAAAGGAAUAUGGGUCCCAAGUAUAGCAAACAAAAAAAGGAAUUUUAAAAGGUUAUUAAGAGCAUAUGACCUGACAGUUCCACUCCUACAUGUUUACUCAAUAGAACUGAAAAUAUACGUCAAUACAAACAUUCGUGCAAUAAUGUUCACAUAAACAUUAUCUAUAAUAGCCAAAAAGAAGAAACAACACACAUGAGUGAAUAAAAGGUCUUUGUGGGUGCCGCCAUUUCUUCCAUCCUUGGUCUCUGUGCCUUUCGCAGAGCUUCCAGCAGCGCUAUGUUGGGCCAGAGCAUCCAGAGGUUCACAACCUCUGCAGUCCUAGGUGCACUAUGAGGAGGGCCCUGGGAAGAAUUUGCCAUUGUCAGUGGAAAACAAGUGUCGGUUACUAGCUAUGAUGUGUUUGUACUUUGGAUCUGGAUUUGAUGAGCCUUUCUUUAUAGUAAGACACCAACUGCUUAAAAAAUAAGCAUGUUUCAGUUCAUCCAUUUAACAGAAAUGAAAAGCAUUCUAAGAGGUGCAGUCUCUGGAAAAUGGAUCAAACUUGAAUUCAUAUGACAUACUAGAUAUGUGUGUAAAUAAACUAUGACAUGAAAAAAGAAA